rnacentral:rRNA from 1 species
AUGAAGCUGGAAUCGCUAGUAAUCGCGGAUCAGAAUGCCGCGGUGAAUACGUUCCCGGGUCUUGUACACACCGCCCGUCACACCAUGGGAGCCGGGAAUGCCCGAAGUCGGUGACCUAACCUGAAAAGGGAGGAGCCGCCGAAGGCAGGUCUGGUAACUGGGGUGAAGUCGUAACAAGGUAAC